rnacentral:misc_RNA from 1 species
UCGUAUUAAUACAAUUAUGGAUUAACAUGUAAUUUACUUUUAAUUAUCUUUGAAUUGUGGACUACGUGAAGUGUUUCUAUUGGUUUGAAAAUCUGAGAGCUGAGCUUCUAUCGACCUUCACGCAAGCUGAUAGUGAGCUCAUUGUUGGAACGAGUGUUAGGCCUUUCAGAAGAAAGAUCAACAGCUCUGCGACUGAGAAAUGCUGGUUCUUUGGGAGAUGGAAGCGUCUGUGUAUCACUGCUCAACAUGAGAACCACCAAAGACAUUGUAGGUCGUUCAAUUGGAUCCUCUUGAACACACAACAGCCCCACAUGGAUGCAUUUUACAGCUUCUUUAGGACGGCACGUAUCCUUCACUGAUGGAUCUAUCAGCUCUGCUGCUUUGCCUUCUUUCCACAGUUCCCAUGCCCAGCUAAGAAGGGUGAAAGAAAGUCCACUGCGAUGGAAGCUUGUGUUCCUCCUUCCACUCACCAUCUCCAGCAGGAACACACCAUAACUAAAUACAUCUGAUUUCUCCGAAAAUUUCCCAGAAUUAGCAUAUUCCGGUGACAUGUAACCAUAAGUGCCCAUCACACGGUUGGUAUUUGCUUCUGUUUGAUUUAUGCCAAAAAUCCUAGCCAUUCCAAAGUCUGAAAUUUUGGCAUUCAUUGCUCCAUCCAACAAAAUAUUGCUUGCCUUCAGGUCCCUGUGAAUGACUUUCAAUCUAGAGAACUUGUGGAUGUAGAGGAGUCCUUGAGCUACGCCUUCUGUAAUAUUAAGGCGUUUAUCCCAAGCCAGUUUUGCUUUUUCAGAUGGAUCAAAAAGAAAUUUGUCCAAACUUCGAUUGGGCAUGUACUCGUAUAUCAGCAUCUUCUCUUCCCUUUCAACACAGCAACCCAACAGCCUAACAAGAUUCUUAUGUUGGAGAUUGGCAAUAAGUUUCAACUCAUUCAUGAAUUCCUCGGGUCCUUGUCCUGAUUUUCUUGAAAGCCUUUUUAUAGCUAUUUCUUGAUCACCAGGCAGAUUUCCCUUAUAAACAGGGCCAAACCCGCCCUCUCCUAGUUUCUUGGCUUCGGAAAAGUUGCUUGUCGCGGCCAAUAUAGUUUUAAAGCUGAAUAAAACCAGCUGUGUAUUGUCUUGUCCUCCUCCAGCUGCAAUAGUGUUUUUGAUCUCAGACGCACUUCCUGAUACCUUCUCUGUUUUUCUCAUUUUUGUCCUUCUCAGGAUUAUUGAUAGAACCAGGCCAAGGAGAAUUAAAGUAAUCACUGAACUCACAACCACCGCAAUAACUCUCUCUUUAUUUUUAGAACUUGAGAACUCAGAAGCUGCAAGCCUGACGUAGAGAGUUUUUCCAUAAGGGUCACCAUCUGCAAGCUGUCGAAGAUUCAAGAGAUCUCCAUACCAAAUUGAACAGUGACUGGCAUUGUAAGCAUAAG